AAUGUAACCAUCUACCCCAUACCAUAUGUCAUUCGAUUUACAUCUUAUGUAAAUGUCACAUUAAUUCAGGUUUACAUCUUAUGUAAUUAUGACACCCUUUCAUAUAUUAUGUGAUUACAUUUUAUGUAAAUGACAUAAUUGUUUCAGUUUACAUCUUAUGUAAAUGUCCUAUUAUUUAAGGAUUUUAUUUACAUCUCAUGCAAAUAAAUUUUUGUUUAACCAAUACAUAUAUCUCAUGCAUACAUUAAACAUAACCUUAAACAAGUAUGAACAUUAUGAUUACCAUAUGCAUCUCAUGUAUAUUUACAGAUAUGAAAUGUUAAACCUAUUAUGCUAUUCUCUGGAUUUCAGAUCAUGCAUUACUUGAUUUAAAACAUUGUAAUCUAAUUGCAAUUCUAAAAUAAUUUGCAAGAUCAUAGCAAAUAAAAAUCUACAUGCUGAAAAUUUCAGCAACCUGAAAUUUUAGCACGCAGAAAAUCCA
rnacentral:lncRNA from 1 species